CCCUUAGAUGUUCUGGGCCGCACGCGCGCUACACUGAUGCAUUCAACGAGUUUCUUCCUGGUCCGAGAGGAAUGGGUACCUUUUGAAAGUGCAUCGUGAUAGGGAUAGACUAUUGCAAUUAUUGGUCUUCAACGAGGAAUUCCUAGUAGACGUAGUUCAUCAGACUGCAUCGAUUACGUCCCUGCCCUUUGUACACACCGCCCGUCGCUCCUACCGAUUGAAUGCUCAGGUGAGCCAUUCGGACUUUCAUCAUGCUGGUUUCCAGUUUUGAUGAAGGAAAGUCUUGCGAACCUUAUCAUUUAGAGGAAGGAGAAGUCGUAACA
rnacentral:rRNA from 1 species